AGGAGAUUCAAUGCCAUCAUCACCUGUGAGUGCAAUACAGUGUAUUAAUUUUGCAAUAAGCUGUUGCACAAGUCUUGAGCAUCCACAGCAAUCCAGAACACAACAUUAAAACAUUUAGUAUAGUACUUCAACCUUGGAAUAGUGGCCCAAAGCAUUCCAUAAUUAUACAUAAUAAGAUAAUUUUAUAUCCAUUACUAACGAUCAAUAUUAAAAACCAGUAGAAACACGUUUAAGCCUAGAUUUUUU
rnacentral:misc_RNA from 1 species